AUACGUAGGUGGCAAGCGUUGUCCGGAUUUAUUGGGCGUAAAGCGAGCGCAGGCGGUCUUCUAAGUCUGAUGUGAAAGCCUUCGGCUUAACCGGAGAAGUGCAUCGGAAACUGGGAAACUUGAGUGCAGAAGAGGACAGUGGAACUCCUUGUGUAGCGGUGAAAUGCGUAGAUAUAUGGAGGAACACCAGUGGCGAAGGCAGCUGUCUAGUCUGUAACUGACGCUGAGGCUCGAAAGCAUGGGUAGCAAACAGGAUUAGAUACCCUGGUAGUCCAUGCCGUAAACGAUGAGUGCUAGGUGUUGGAGGGUUUCCGCCCUUCAGUGCCGCAGCUAACGCAUUAAGCACUCCGCCUGGGGAGUACGACCGCAAGGUUGAAACUCAAAGGAAUUGACGGGG
rnacentral:rRNA from 1 species